rnacentral:hammerhead_ribozyme from 1 species
AUCCAGCUAACGAGUCCCAAAUAGGACGAAACGCGAGUCAUAACUGGAC